GAUGAACGCUGGCGGCGUGCCUAAUACAUGCAAGUCGAGCGAACAGACGAGGAGCUUGCUCCUCUGACGUUAGCGGCGGACGGGUGAGUAACACGUGGUUAACCUACCUAUACGACUGGGAUAACUUCGGGAAACCGGAGCUAAUACCGGAUAAUAUAUUGAACCGCAUGGUUCAAUAGUGAAAGACGGUUUUGCUGUCACUUAUAGAUGGAUCCGCGCCGCAUUAGCUAGUUGGUAAGGUAACGGCUUACCAUGGCAACGAUGCGUAGCCGACCUGAGAGGGUGAUCGGCCACACUGGAACUGAGACACGGUCCAGACUCCUACGGGAGGCAGCAGUAGGGAAUCUUCCGCGAUGGGCGAAAGCUUGACGGAGCAACGCCGCGUGAGUGAUGAAGGUCUUCGGAGCGUAAAACUCUGUUAUUAGGGAAGAACAAAUGUGUAAGUAACUAUGCACGUCUUGACGGUACCUAAUCAGAAAGCCACGGCUAACUACGUG
rnacentral:rRNA from 1 species